UACGUAGGGUGCGAGCGUUAAUCGGAAUUACUGGGCGUAAAGCGUGCGCAGGCGGCGCGUUAAGACAGGUGUGAAAGCCCCGAGCUUAACUUGGGAAUUGCGCUUGUGACUGGCGUGCUGGAGUGUGGCAGAGGGAGGUGGAAUUCCACGUGUAGCAGUGAAAUGCGUAGAGAUGUGGAGGAACACCGAUGGCGAAGGCAGCCUCCUGGGCCAGCACUGACGCUCAUGCACGAAAGCGUAGGGAGCAAACAGG
rnacentral:rRNA from 1 species